CCUUGCUCGCCACUUCAGUCGUUCGCAUAGGCGCGCUGAGCCUUUGUCGGAUUAUGUUUUCCUGUGCUGUGUUCCAUUAAAAGGGCAUUGAAUUUGUUCAAUUGCAUCAUCAGUUCGCUUCUCGUUGCGUCCCCUUGGAUUUUGGCAUGCAGUGAACUUUAAAGCAUUUAUCGUGUUCCACCUUCCAUGCAUGCACGUGCUUGGUGUUGUUGGGCCACGGUCUUUGCUCGAUCUCUCGGUUGCGGAAUACCUUGUGGGCACGAGGCCACUAGUCCUCUAUUCGGCCCUUAUCGAGCGUUUAACGCUUUCAUUCGAACGACAGUUGUGGCCGUCUUGACUAGGUCUUUAUGGCUUGGAUCAUGCGGUCGCAACGUCGAUGAGGAAUG
rnacentral:misc_RNA from 1 species